rnacentral:rRNA from 1 species
CACGUAGGCGGAUUGGAAAGUUGGAGGUGAAAUCCCAGGGCUCAACCUUGGAACUGCCUUCAAAACUCCCAGUCUUGAGGUCGAGAGAGGUAAGUGGAAUUCCGAGUGUAGAGGUGAAAUUCGUAGAUAUUCGGAGGAACACCAGUGGCGAAGGCGGCUUACUGGCUCGAUACUGACGCUGAGGUGCGAAAGCGUGGGGAGUAAACA